GGGAUAAGGCCCAGAGAAAGAAAUUGGACCGAGUGGAUAGUAAACGUCCUGUCUUUAUCGCAGCCCAUUAUUUCGAACCGCGUCCCUUUGACGAUGCCUUAAGAUUCGUGCCACUGAUAUUAGUCCCCGUCUUCGUCUCGCCCCAUCUCCUCGAUCCUCUCCCAUUUCGUCGGCGAUUGCCAACGGAGGUCGAUCUCUGCUUGGCGCUUGCUCAGCCUUCGUUUGAUCAACUCGAUUCCUCGUGCUUCGUCUCCGGCCUAGACCUUGUCCAUUGCGAACUCCGGACUUCUCCUCACUGGGUAAAGUAGCUAGUUGUAAAGGAAAAAAUACAGCCCAGAUAAUGCUGAUAGGCAGGAUCUAAAAUGGAGGGUGCAUUAAUCAGAACCAGCCUUAUGACUUUACCCAUUUGAGAAACGAGAUAUUGUGAUGGCUACAGCUAAACUGAUGCAGCACUGCUACUACUAGAGAGUAGGGGCUUUAACUUGUAUAAUUAGCACAUUAAACUGGUGUUUCAUCAAGCCAUGUUAGCUGAAAUCAUUUUGUUGAGAGGCUAACUGGGAUUAAUAUUUUUUUUUUUAAAUCAUUUUGUUGAACUGUGGUAGAUCCAUUUUCUUAAAAGCUCGUUUUUCCCCAGAA